UAACUCUGGUGUCUCCUCAUUUGUGGAUAAAUCUUUCGCCUUUUACUGAGGAUUUCCGUAGGUAGGCACAAUACAAUGAGUCUUGCCUGAUUUUUUUCAGCUCUGUCUUCGGGCGGAGU
rnacentral:snRNA from 1 species